rnacentral:rRNA from 1 species
AUUGAACGCUGGCGGCGGGCUUGACACAUGCAAGUCGAGCGGAGAUGAGGUGCUUGCACCUUAUCUUAGCGGCGGACGGGUGAGUAAUGCUUAGGAAUCUGCCUAUUAGUGGGGGACAACAUUCCGAAAGGAAUGCUAAUACCGCAUACGUCCUACGAGAGAAAGCAGGGGAUCUUCGGACCUUGCGCUAAUAGAUGAGCCUAAGUCGGAUUAGCUAGUUGGUGGGGUAAAGGCCUACCAAGGCGACGAUCUGUAGCGGGUCUGAGAGGAUGAUCCGCCACACUGGGACUGAGACACGGCCCAGACUCCUACGGGAGGCAGCAGUGGGGAAUAUUGGACAAUGGGGGGAACCCUGAUCCAGCCAUGCCGCGUGUGUGAAGAAGGCCUUAUGGUUGUAAAGCACUUUAAGCGAGGAGGAGGCUACUGAGACUAAUACUCUUGGAUAGUGGACGUUACUCGCAGAAUAAGCACCGGCUAACUCUGUGCCAGCCGCCGCAGUAACAC